GGUUAAGCGACUAAGCGUACACGGUGGAUGCCCUGGCAGUCAGAGGCGAUGAAGGACGUGCUAAUCUGCGAUAAGCGUCGGUGAGGUGAUAUGAACCGUUAUAACCGGCGAUUUCCGAAUGGGGAAACCCAGUGUGUUUCGACACACUAUCAUUAACUGAAUCCAUAGGUUAAUGAGGCGAACCGGGGGAACUGAAACAUCUAAGUACCCCGAGGAAAAGAAAUCAACCGAGAUUCCCCCAGUAGCGGCGAGCGAACGGGGAGGAGCCCAGAGCCUGAAUCAGUGUGUGUGUUAGUGGAAGCGUCUGGAAAGGCGCGCGAUACAGGGUGACAGCCCCGUACACAAAAAUGCACAUAUUGUGAGCUCGAUGAGUAGGGCGGGACACGUGGUAUCCUGUCUGAAUAUGGGGGGACCAUCCUCCAAGGCUAAAUACUCCUGACUGACCGAUAGUGAACCAGUACCGUGAGGGAAAGGCGAAAAGAACCCCGGCGAGGGGAGUGAAAAAGAACCUGAAACCGUGUACGUACAAGCAGUGGGAGCCUCUUAAUGGGGUGACUGCGUACCUUUUGUAUAAUGGGUCAGCGACUUAUAUUCUGUAGCAAGGUUAACCGAAUAGGGGAGCCGAAGGGAAACCGAGUCUUAACUGGGCGUUAAGUUGCAGGGUAUAGACCCGAAACCCGGUGAUCUAGCCAUGGGCAGGUUGAAGGUUGGGUAACACUAACUGGAGGACCGAACCGACUAAUGUUGAAAAAUUAGCGGAUGACUUGUGGCUGGGGGUGAAAGGCCAAUCAAACCGGGAGAUAGCUGGUUCUCCCCGAAAGCUAUUUAGGUAGCGCCUCGUGAAUUCAUCUCCGGGGGUAGAGCACUGUUUCGGCAAGGGGGUCAUCCCGACUUACCAACCCGAUGCAAACUGCGAAUACCGGAGAAUGUUAUCACGGGAGACACACGGCGGGUGCUAACGUCCGUCGUGAAGAGGGAAACAACCCAGACCGCCAGCUAAGGUCCCAAAGUCAUGGUUAAGUGGGAAACGAUGUGGGAAGGCCCAGACAGCCAGGAUGUUGGCUUAGAAGCAGCCAUCAUUUAAAGAAAGCGUAAUAGCUCACUGGUCGAGUCGGCCUGCGCGGAAGAUGUAACGGGGCUAAACCAUGCACCGAA
rnacentral:rRNA from 1 species